UUGGGGUAAAGAAAUGUAUGUACAUGGCCAUCCAUUCUUAAAACUGAGAGGCAGUGUGGGAGUGUGUGUGUCUUAGGGUUUUACUGCUAUGAGCAGACCAUGACCAAGGCAAGUCUGAUAAGGACAUCAUUUAAUUGGGGCUGGCUUACAGGUUCAGAGGUUCAGUCCAUUUUUAUCAGGGCAGGAAGCGUGGCAGCAUCCAGGCAGGCAUGGUGUAGACAAAAGUGAGAGUUCUACAUCUUCAUCUGAAGGCUGCUAGUGGAAGACUGACUUCCAGGCAACUUGGGUGAAGGUCUAAAGCCCAUGUCCACAGUGACACACCUACGCCAACAAGGCCACACCUCCUAAUAGUGCCACUCCCUGGGCUAAGCAUAUGCAAACCAUCACAGAGGAGUUUUACUGGGAGGUCCACGUGGAUCUACAGGGACCUAAUGGUGAGUCUGGGAGACACAGAGAUCUCACUGAAGACAAGUGUAUGGACCACCAAGUCCAAGUAGAGACCAAUCAAGAUGAUGACGCCCGUCUGGUCGCUGAGAGUCCUCGAUGCUGCUGGGUCCCCUGAGCUCGACAUUCACAUACUUGCCCUCACUGCAGGCAUGAACCCCAGUCUUCCAUCUGCCUUCCCAAAUCAGUAGAACAUUUUCCUCAUGCCAGGUCUUCUUACUACGUAAAGAUUAUCUCUAGUACUUUCUCAAGACACCAUGGAAACUCAGGUCCCACAGACUCAACUGUUGGGCUCUGCCUUCUUGGUGUUCCCUAAUGAAGACCUAAAGAAAAGGUCCAGACCUUGACAUGGUGAGAGACAGGACUGAACAUACACAGUAAAACAGACUGACAGACAGAGACAAAAGAGAGCCUUCCAGAUCUCCCCAGAGUAAGACCUCGUUCAUUCUGAAGACCAACAGAUGUAAGAACUUUUCAUCUUGCUAAGGUCACGGUGUCAUGUAUGUUCAUAUUUGUUGGUAUAUCAUUCUAUGCUAAGACAGGCUGAGCUUAUGCUGAUCUUAGAAUUCCCUCAAAUAAUUGAGUAACAAGACUUGUAGCCAUUUUUACUGUGGGUUUAAAGAAAAAAAUGUAUAUAUAUAUUGGUACACCUACUUUAAAAAUAUAUAUGCGUGUGUGUAAAUGUGUUUGGGGAUCUAUUAAAAGACCCGAUAAGUACAUAACAUAUAAACUAAGGUACUUGUACCUUCUUAGGAUCUAGUUAUAUGGUAUCCUUGGGUCAAUUAAAUAUUACAUAAAAUGUUAUUUAUCUAUAUUAAACAAUAUUCACUGGGAUCAUAAGAUAAGGAUUUUAUUAGGCUAUAAAGUUUAGUGUUUGACAUAUAGAUUUUGAUGGUGAUUUCCUUCCAUAUAAUUUUAUUUUAUGGUUUAGUAAGCACAGGUAACCAAAAGUAAUAAGAAAUAUAAGGGUUUGUCUUAAUCAGAGUACCUCUAAGUAAUGUAAAUUAUAAAUUUUUAUUAGGUUAAUUGCCUUGAGUUUUUAUGAAUAUUCUUACUAUAUGAGUAUUAAAUGUAAGAUUUUAUUAAGUCUGUGAUACAUGUAAAAUUGUGUGUGCAUAUGCAUGUACACACGUGUGUGUGCCAGAGAUUUUUAUAUUAAAUUUCCUUUUCAGCGGAGACGACAUCUAGGCCUUUUUGCUAAGAACAGGGAAAAAUUACAGGAGCUCCGACCCUAACAAGUAGCAACAUUCAAAGCCUAGGGGAACCAGGCUCGGUUUGCAGCACCCACGUGGCAACCUUCCUCAACUCCAGUUCAGAAGGAUCUGAUGCCCUCUCCUGGCCUCUGUGGGCACUGUAUGCCCAUGGUACACAGACAGUGCCAGCAGAUACCCACACUCAAAGAUAAAAACAAGUAAAUGACAUCCUACAUUUUCAAGAUACCAUUUAACUUAUAAAAGUACUAAUAUAUUAAACUCACUGUUGACAAAUUU